CUCGGGAGCCUCCACCCAGGCGCAUGGCUCCAUGAAGCAAGAGGAGGAGGCAGAGCGCGAGAGAUCCCGUCCGCCCCAGCCGCGUCUGGGCCAGGAGAAAAGCAAAACCAUAUUCCUGCUGCUGUCAGUUUUGAUGCACUGAGAAAACUUCAGAGACCUAAGCUUUUUCCAGAGAAGAGAAGCUUUACUGGUGUUCCAGCCCUAAGGCUCAUAUGACAUUAACAGACAAGACACUUUUCAGAAAGACAGACAGCUCUUCAAUCUUCAAGGGAACUGUGGAAGUAAACCAGGGGUGACAUGGAUUAUCAAAUAUUGUGGAUCAGAGUGGCUGUAUCAUUUUACUUUCCUACCAUCAGUAUUUGAGAAUUACAGUUGUUCUAAAUCAUCACCAACACAAAAGAUGAUGAGUAUUUUUAAUUGUAUUUAUUCUAGUAGGUGUGGAAUGGCAUCUCAUUUAAUUUGUAUUUCUCUAAUGGCUAAAGAUAUUGAACAUCUUUCGAUGUGAUUAUUUGCU
rnacentral:lncRNA from 10 species